AAGAGACCCAUUGCUUCAGAAUAAAUGAUUGGAUGUCUUGAGACAGACUGUCUGAGCUCCUGAGUAUCAGAGCAAUCUUUUACUUAGUAGGCAAGUGAAAUGACUCACCGAGACGGAUGUGUGAUUCUGUGACUUCACAGCCUUCCUGAAUGAAGCCUCUAUCAGUAAACUCUGCAGCCAGAGGUUUCUUAUUUUAAAUGGUGACCAAAGGUUUGCUUGGUGGUUUGUAUGAUGCUUGUCAUAAAGUGAUCCCAAGAUAUGGCCAGGUCCUUCAUAAUAAACUACUGGGUCCUCUUCCCUUGGGCAGAUAAACUACUGGGUCCUCUUCCCUGUGUCCUCCUCCCUUGGUAUAUCAAUGGACACAACAAGGACUGGUUCAAGAUAUUAAGAUGGGAUGACUUCAAGAGGCUUCACCAUCUUAAAAACUUGGGUUAACAAGCUUCUCAAUUAAAAUGCAAUUGACCUUGGAAAGUUUAAUUUAUCCUUCCAGAAAGACUGGUCAUUCACACAUAGAGGGGGUGAAUCUUUUCUGAUAGUGAUCUAUGAAACAGGUUUGACAAAAGUGGAUACUUCAAUGUGGCAGAGAAAGCCUCAGGCUCAUGGACCUCAGGACCAGCAGGGAACAGCUAAGAGGAGUUGGCCUAAAAGAGGAAGUGAAUGGGAUGGGUGGGCAAUGAAGGUUAGGCCUACUGACCAUGGCACUAAUGUCUAAGCAUCCAAACUUUCACCAUCUUCCUUUUUCCAUCCUUCCCUCGCCUCAUUCUUCCAACAGCCUACCUUAUGAUCCUUUUUUAGUAAUGGCAAAUAAAACUGAGGAUAUUUAAAACCGGA